rnacentral:siRNA from 1 species
UAAAAAGCCUUCUCGGGUUGU